rnacentral:rRNA from 1 species
UGNUCUGUCACUGACGCUGAGGCUCGAAAGCGUGGGUAGCGAACAGGAUUAGAUACCCUGGUAGUNCACGCCGUAAACGCUGAGUGCUAGGUGUUAGGUCCUUUCCGGGACUUAGUGCCGACGCUAACGCAUUAAGCACUCCGCCUGGGGAGUACGACCGCAAGGUUGAAACUCAAAGGAAUUGACGGGGGCCCGCACAAGCGGUGGAGCAUGUGGUUUAAUUCGAAGCAACGCGAAGAACCUUACCAGGUCUUGACAUCCCGAUGCCCGCUCUAGAGAUAGAGUUUUACUUUUUGUACAUCGGAGACAGGUGGUGCAUGGUUGUCGUCAGCUCGUGUCGUGAGAUGUUGGGUUNNNNNNNANANNNNNCGCAACCCUUAUUGUUAGUUGCCAUCAUUAAGUUGGGCACUCUAGCGAGACUGCCGGUAAUAAACCGGAGGAAGGUGGGGAUGAUGUCAAAUCAUCAUGCCCCUUAUGACCUGGGCUACACACGUGCUACAAUGGUUGGUACAACGAGUCGCAAGCCGGUGACGGCAAGCUAAUCUCUGAAAGCCAAUCUCAGUUCGGAUUGUAGGCUGCAACUCGCCUACAUGAAGUCGGAAUCGCUAGUAAUCGCGGAUCAGCACGCCGCGGUGAAUACGUUCCCGGGCCUUGU